AUAUUUAAAUUUUGUGUGUCUGAAGUGGAUUAGUUCGGUUUAAAUACUUCGAUUGUAUAGUGUAGUACAUGUAUAUAAGAAUAGUUAUAUUUUAUGCAUCAAAAACAAUGGGAUUAGCCCAUAGUUUGAACUCGAAGGUAUUUUGUCUGGUUAUGUAGCCUGUUGGGAUCAGCCCCAGGCGCGAUACACUCCUGGGAUCAGCCCGGAGUGUGGGUUCUACUUUUAGCCUUAGGGAUCAGCCCAAGGUUAGGUAUCUUGUUUACAUUCUCUCGGGAUCAGACCAGAGGUCCGUCAGUUUUCUUGGCCUGCUGGGAUCAGCCCCAGGCAUAUCACUCCUGGGAUCAGCCCGGAGUGGCGAUUUGUGCUUGCCUCUAGGGAUCAGCCCUAGGCAUGUUUCUUGUUGAGCGUCCUCUUGGGAUCAGCCCAGAGGAUUGUCUUGUUAGUAGCCUGCCGGGAUCAGCCCCAGGCAUUGUGCACUCCUGGGAUCAGCCCGGAGUUGUUUUUGGUGCUUGCCUUUAGGGAUCAGCUCUAGGCAGAAUUGGGUCUAAUUGUUUCGAGAUCAGGUUGGAGUGGCUUUAUUUAUUGAUCACAGUUAAGAGUUGGAAGGAAAGGUAGAGAAAGUAAUGAGUAGCCCCCAGAGCGCCAAACAAGUAUGAGUUUUGAGAUUUACAUUAUUGUAUAUAUUUUUUAUAUGUGUUCAUGUUUUUUAUGGAUUUUGAUAUGUUAAAAAUAUUAAACCAACUGAACCUCAUAAA